rnacentral:lncRNA from 1 species
GACUGUUUGCUCAACAUUUUGAAACCUCGUUCUCGGGACCUACCGGCUGAGAAGAGGGUGAAGAAGAUGUCGACAGAGGGAGGAAUCCCUAGUUCGUGACAGAAGGCAAUGAAUGCCAGAAUGUGAAUGUAGGAAUUAGGCACCAACUGGGCAAAACCCACUCCUAUGAACCCUAGGAGGGUAACGACGAAUGCAUGGAGGGUAGGCGAAUCCCCUUUUCGAGAAAAGUAACUGGCAUGCCAAUCCAACCAUCCGGUCGAUGGUACAUGCGUUCUUCAGGAGCGGGAGCCCUUAUAGCGUACAUAUCCGGAAUCUGAUAGCGAGUCCGGAGGAUGCGUAUCUCAGCUUCCGUAACAGUGGAGGGGGUAUUGGCAUGAGGAAACUGUUCCCCAUCCUUAAAGAAGUCGGAAGGAGCCAGAGAAGGGAUCAAGGGCAGAUUCUUCCCCAUGGUUGCUGUGGAUUGGGGAUUGGAACUCUAACCCUCUUGGUUAGGAUUUGGAUUAGGGGAAACGGUGCAAACGGGAGUCACGCGAAGGGGAGAAAUUUGGCUAGAGUUCACAGUCACCAUUGUUGAGAUUUCGUAAAGUCAGAGAAGGAAGUUAUGAGAAGGAGAAGAAAGCUCAAAGGUUCAAAGUUCAAAUUGACAGGUAAAACCGUCAAAAUUGGUAAAGUUUAUCUUUUAUACUGACAGUUACACGAGUUACGAAGGCGGCACAUUAAAUGCUAGUAAUGAUGAGAAUUCGAAUGGGAAGCGCCCGGAUCAAUUCUUAGACAUUUUAUCAGAUUGGGCUUCUCGGUUGGAUUUUCAGUUUUUAGACCGUCUUGUUCGAUUUCAAUCCUUUAUUGACUGGGCCUUUUACUCUGAACAUUCAGCCAUUCCCUGUCUCAUCUUAUGGACCAAAUUGGGUAUGUCUCAAUUANNNNNNNNNNNNNNNNNNNNNNNNNNNNNNNNNNNNNNNNNNNNNNNNNNNNNNNNNNNNNNNNNNNNNNNNNNNNNNNNNNNNNNNNNNNNNNNNNNNNCAUUUAAUAUUAAUUACUUUGACUUGUAAUGAUGAAAAAGCAUGACAGUUGACUAAGACACUUGUCAUGCAUUAAUGUGGAUGGGAUUAUAGCCGGCCGGCAGCAUAAACAGUGACCAGAGGUAGUGAGUAGACUGUAGGCAGGCGGCAGGACCCAUCAGAUCACGGGGGUUGUGUCAGAGGUAGUGGGUCGCACGGUAAACCAGGAAAAGAGAGUAUAACCUAUCAACUAAGUCUUCACAAACAGGUACGUUCUCAUAUACGUUCUCAUUCAUAUUCACACAAACACACAACUGAGAACUAUUAUCUCUCUCAAUACACUAGACAUUACAUCAUCCAUUGUUAACCUUGUGAACACGUAUACUUACUCUCACGCCUGAGCUAUCCCCCGGCGGUCCGGCCGUCAAGCUUAUGGUGUUUAUCGUGUUUACUGUGCAGGAUUAGGGCGUCUUAUGUGAUUGGGACGUGGCAGAAGAUCCUGGCGUUAACAUUGGCGCUAGAAGGAGGGCUGAGUUCUAGUGUCAUUGAAAUUUUUAAUCACAAUCAUUUAAUCUACUUCGGAAGAUGGUGAGGAGUAGAGAUGGUACGCCAGAAGGGCAGGCGAUGGUUGUUAGCUCGUCACUGCCUCGUGUUUCGGUAAAGGAUCGUCUGGGUCCUUCUUAAAGUGCUCACGAGAGCACGGCCUCUAAGCAUAAUUCAGGAGAUCUCUGUCCGAAGAUCCAUGGUGGGGCCAGACGGAGGUUGGUUUUUGAUGCGGAUAAGGAGCGUGAUCAUGGUCGAGGGCGAGCGGAAGGCUCACCGACCAAGACUCAUCGCCGAAGUGGUCAGGAGGACAGAGCUGCCAAGUUGGCGAGGAUGGUAGACGAAGCAGAUAAAGCCUUGGAGGUUCUGUUAAAGCAUAGAGAAGAUAUAGCCGAACAGAUGCUUCGGGUGGCGGAGUUAAGGGACGAAACAUCUAGCCAUGUUCAGUCCGAAAGGCGGAGUAAGCAUAAGGAGAUACCACGACAAGAGGGUAAAGAGCCGGAGCAUUCUACACAUGUGUCUAGGGAUCGUACUCGUGGACUCGAAGAAGGCACUGGUGGUCGUUGGUUCUCAGCAUCGAGACGACGACAGACGAAGGAGCAGGUCGAGGGAGAUCGUGCCAAAAACCAGAAAAAGAGAGCAUCAGCGUGAAUAUUCUCGUCAUGAGGACAGAAUUAUACGCCGAAGUAGAUCCAGAAGCCCCACAAGGGCAAUGGGAUCGGCAGGAGGAGGUCGAUCCACUCAGAGGCAGAAUGUUGUUCAGGAGAUAGAGGUCUUCUCGUAUCCCGAAGGUGUUAAUUUUUUAGUGAAGGAGUUGAAAGAGCUCCGAAAGCAGUUGGUUGAGGUUUAAUAGGUGAAGGACACUCCGGGAAAGAAGGCAUCCCCUUUUUCCUCGGAUAUUCUCAAGGAGAAGACAUAUGUCACCAAGAAGUUGCCUCGUAUGGAGAGUUACGAUAGGUCCGGGGACCCUUACGACCAUAGCCAGGCGUUCGACCGGCUCAUGGAUUAUUAUGAUUUCACUGAUGCUGCCAAGUGCCACACAUUUGUUACGACAUCAAGGAAAGAUGCGAGGCAGUGGAUGAGGACUUUGCCGUCAGAUUUAAUUUCCUCUUGGACAGAGCUCUGCGAUAAGUUCCAUGCCCGCUUUGGGAGCAACCGAAGGAGAGGGAAGCCCACUGGUUCAUUAGCACAGGUCCGACAGUUCACCAACGAGUCCUUGGGUCAAUAUGUGAAGAGGUUCAGAGAAGCAGUUGGUCAGGUGUCAGACCUCAAUGACCUCCAGGCCAUAGGUUUGUUUCAAAAUGGGCUAGAUCUGGUAAAGUCCGAGAAGUUGGUGAAGAAGUUGAUGUUCAACCAUCCGAAGAGCCUGGCAGAAGCUUUUGACAAAGCAGAAAGAUAUAUUGUUGUAGAGGAGGCUAUGAAUAGCCUAAAACGUCCUUCUUCGGACCAGUUAAAGGAUGCAGAUGAUCCUAAGGCAGAGGGCGAUCAGAGAAAGGGGGGAGGAUAUAAUGAUCGGCCAAAGGGCAGUUCGAAGAAGUUCAAUAACUCAUGGCGACAGAGGAGUAGUCGUCCACCUGCGUCCGCUUCGAAGGUGAACAAGGUUUACACCAAGCUGAACACGGAGAGGUCGGUGAUUUUGGACCAAAUCAGGAACCAGCCAUUCUAUGAGCCGCCUCGUGACCACAUCAAACCAGGGCAGGGAAAUACCCGAAAAUAUUGUGGCUAUCAUCAAGCCGCUGGUCACGAUACUAAUGAAUGUUGCAAUUUGAAAGAUUUCGUAGAGAGGAAGAUUCAAAAUAGUUUGUUGGUUCAGUAUGUGGCCGGGAGGGACCAACAAGGUCAGCAAAAUACUGAUCGUACCGUUCAGACGGCUCUGCCCGCUCAAAGUAUUCCAGUACCACCACCAAGGCACGUCAUUGAUGUAAUAACCGGUGGGACAGCAGGAAAGUUGGUAGGGAAGAAGAGGAGAGGAUACCUGGAUUCAGUCAUGUCCGUGGCGGGUGCUUCCCCGAAGGCCGACAAACCUUUUCCAGGGACUGUUAUUUCUGUCACCGAUGCAGAUUAUCCUUCGGAGCCUAUCGAGUCGCAUGAGGGGGCGUUGGUGACCACGGCGCAGGUGGGUUCAGUAGAUGUGAAGCGCAUGAUGAUAGAUAACGGGUCUUCUGUAGACAUCUUAUAUGCCCAUGCUUAUAAGAGGAUGCAUCUUGAUGGGCGGAAGAUGGAGGUCGGGCAGGAGGCUCCUCUAUAUGGCUUCAGCAAUGAUCCAGUCAAAGUUGCAGGCACUAUCGAGCUCCUAGUGAUCUUCGACACGGCUCUUCGGCAGGUAAAAAUAAUGUGUAAAUUUUAUGUUGUACAUGUAGAUUCAGCUUACAACGCCAUAUUGGGAAGGACUACACUGACAGCUCUCCAAGCGGUAACUUCCAUCCCUCACUUCAAAAUCAAGUUCCCCACAGCACAUGGAGUCGGAGAAGUGGCAGGGGACUUAGAUCUGGCCCGAAGAUGUUAUAGAAAUGCAGUUAUUUCUUCCGGAGUGGGGGUCAGCAAACAGAAACAAACCAUGGCAAUUGAUAUCGAGCCCUUCACUGAAAGCAGCUUGGAGCCAUUAGUAAUUCCCGCAGGAGAAACGGAAGAGAUCGAGCUAGUCCUUGGAAAGCCAGAGAAGACAGUAAAGAUUGGUUCGGGUCUGCCAGAACCUCUUCGGACAAACCUCAUGGAGCUCCUUCGCUGCUAUGCGAACAUUUUUGUAUGGGAACCACGGGACAUGCCUGGAGUCAGCCGAAAGAUAGCUGAGCACAGACUGGAUGUAGAUCCUUCGAAGAAGCCAGUUCGGCAGAAGAGGCGGAUUUUUGCACCGGAGCGACAGAAGAUCAUUGAUGAGGAGAUUGCAAAGCUGUUAGCUGCUAACUUCAUCUAUGAAAUCGAUUACCGGAAUGGAUGGCGAAUGUGGUGUUGGUGCAGAAGCAGAAUGGAAAAUGGCGGGUUUACAUCGACUACACCGAUCUGAAUAAAGCUUGUCCGAAGGACUUUUAUCCUUUGCCCCAUAUUGACCAGCUCAUCGAUGCCACUUCGGGGUAUGCAUUACUAAACUUUAUGGAUGCUUUUUCAUGUUACCAUCAAAUUUCCAUGUGCAGGAAGGACAUUCCGAAGACAGCAUUCAUUACACACCGUUCGGUGUACGCCUACAAGAAGAUGACCUUUAGCCUUAUAAAUGCUGGAGCCACUUACCAGAGAAUGAUGAACUUCGUCUUCAACAGGAAACUAGGGAGAAACAUGGAGGUCUAUGUAGAUGACAUGAUCGUGAAGAGCAUGCAGGUUCAGAAGCAUUUGGACGAUCUGAAGGAGUGCUUCCAGACUGUCCGACAUCAUCAGCUGAGGCUCAAUCCGGCCAAAUGCACCUUCGGACUCGGUGCAGGAAAGUUCCUGGGAUAUCUGGUCAGUCAGAACGGUAUUGAAGCCAAUCCGGAGAAGAACCAGCUGGUCAUUCUUGACAUGAAGACUCCUCAGUCGUUCAAAGACGUCCAACGUCUGACUGGUAGGAUUGCAGCUUUAAGGAGGUUUAUGUUGAAAUCUGCGGAGAGGUGCCUUCCUUUCUUUAAUACACUAAAAGGACCAAAGAAUGCAAAGACGUUACAAUGGACUACCGAAUGCGAAGACGCCUUUCAGGGCAUAAAAACGUAUCUAUCUUCGGCUCCUUUAUUGAUGAAGCCUGUUCCAGCAGAGACAUUAUAUUUGUACCUUGCAGCAAGUUCGUUGGCAGUUGGAGCAGUCAUGGUUCGGGAGGUCAGUGGGAAGCAGCAUCCGGUCUAUUAUGUCAGUCACGCCCUACGAGAUGCUGAAACCAGGUACCCGAAUAUUGAAAAAUUUGCUUUUGCUUUGAUAAUUGCUAGUAGAAAGCUUCAAAAAUAUUUUCAAGGUCGGCUCCUGGUCGUUUACACGGAUCAACCAUUGAAGAAGGUGAUGAGCAAGCCAGAGGUUUCGGGGAGGCUAGCAGCAUGGACUAUGGAGUUGUCCCAAUUUUUUUAUUGAAUAUCAUCCCCGAACCGCUAUCAAAGGUCAGGCCUUGGCCGAUUUUAUGGUGGAGUGCUCGUUCACCGAAGCAGAUGCCGAACUGCCAGAAGCUGAGACGUCCGAUCGAGCGAUUGCGGUUCUUCAGCAGGGACAAAGUGCAUAGACGAUGUACGCAGAUGGAUUCUCUACAGUGACUGUUAGUGGGGCAGGUAUUAUCUUGACGAGUCCAGAGGGAUUCAAAGUGCAACAGGCCAUCAGAUUCGGGUUUAAAGCGACGAACAACGAAGCCGAAUAUGAAGCAGUGUUGGCAGGUGUUCGACUGGCGAAGAGUCUAGAGGUCCAGAAGCUGAUCAUUUACAGUGACUCUCAGUUGGUCGUCAAACAACUGUCGAGAGAUUAUGAAGCUCGUGGGACCAGGAUGAUCAAGUAUCUGGCAGAAUUACAAGACCGACUUCAGUACUUUGUUUCUUAUGAGUUUCUGGGCAUAGAGCGUAACGACAAUUCCAUUGUUGAUGCCCUCUCGAAGCUCACUACCACGGAUGCAGAUGUUUUUAAUGGAUCGGUUUACUUAGAAGUUUUGCAACAGCCGAGUGUUCAGUAUGAAGCGGUGAUGUGUAUCGAGCGAUUUAAUUGCUGGAUGACUCCCUACAUCGAAUAUUUGGCAGAUGGCGUCCUUCCUCCAGAUCAGAUGCUGGCAAAGAAGAUCAAGUACAAGAGUGCCAACUUCGUUCUUAUUGAUGGGGAUCUUUAUCGAAGGACAUUUUCGUCACCAUUAUUGAAGUGUCUGGUUCCGUCUGAAGCUGAGUAUGCCCUUCGGGAAGUUCAUGAAGGCAUUUGUGGUAAUCAUAUGGCUGCUAAGUCAUUAGCAUACAAAGUUCUUCGGCAAGGGUACUACUGGCCAACAAUCUUCAAGGAAGCUACCGAGUAUGUGAAGAAGUGUGAGAAGUGUCAGCUCAACAGUCCGAUCCCACAUUAGCCACCAGAAGAGCUAUACUCGAUUCUAUCUCUUAUACCAUUUGCUGUCUGGGGGGUUGAUAUAUUGGGUCCAUUGCCAAAAGCUAAGGGACAGGUCAGUUUCGUUAUAGUUGUCAUUGAUUACAUGACCAAGUGGGUAGAGGCGAAGCCACUUCGGUUGAUAACAGAGCAGGAAUGUUUAAAGUUCAUGAAAGAGUCCGUAAUAUUUCGCUUCGGAAUUCCCAAAGUAGUGAUAUCAGACAAUGGACGCCAGUUUGUGGGAUCAAAAUUUGAAGGGUUUUUGAAGGAGCUGGGGGUUCAGCACAAGAAGACUUCGGUGGCUCAUCCACAGUUGAAUGGGCAAGUAGAGGUGACCAACAGGACGCUACUGAACGGGAUCAAGCGCAGACUGGAUAAAGCUAAAGGAAGAUGGCCAGAAGAACUGCUCAGCGUGCUGUGGGCUUACCGGACUACACCGAGGACCACCACAGAGGAUUCACCUUUUCGAUUGGCCUAUGGUACUGAUGCCUUAGUCCCAGUCGAAAUCGGAUCUCCAAGUCUUCGGGUCAGUCAAUUCAAAGAGAUCUAUAAUGACGAAGGACUGAAGGCCAACUUGGAUCUGCUAGAAGAAGUCAGAGAGGUAGCUUUGCUCAAAUUGGCUACUUAUCAACGAAGAGUAGCCAAGCAUUACAACAAAGGGGUCAAACUUCACAGAUUCGAAGUAGGAGACUUCGUCCUAAGAGAAGCCGAAGCAUCUACGCCUCAAAACACUGGAAAAUUAAUGCCGAACUGGGAAGGGCCGUAUGAGGUGAUCGAAGUACCAAAGCCAGGGACUUAUCGUUUAAAAGCAUUAGAUGGAUCCGAGAUCAAGAACACUUGGCAUGCAGGCAGGCUUCAAAAAUAUUUCCAAUAGAGAUAUUCAGUCUACGAAGAAGUCUGUACAUGAUUGUUCACCAUCUAUAAAAGUUCACUUUUUCACAACUGAUCCUCUUCUUAUUUGUCCUAAGUUCACAAUGGUGUAAGGAGGUAUGGUCGGACUUGCUGGCCAUUCGAUGGUAGCCCAUUUAUUUGUUGCCCAGCGUGGUAGACAAAUCCUAUAUUCCUUUAUAUUGCUUUUACCGAGGGCGGUAAAUCAAUAGUUCACUGAAGUAAGGAGGACGGGGUGGACUCGCUGACCAUUCGAUGGUAGCCUCUUCGGUAGGAGUGUUCCUAUGAAUUUGUUAUACCCUGCGUGGUAGACAAAUUUUGUGAUCCUCUUAAUUUUGAUUUACCGCGAGUGGUAAACAAAAUGCAUUGGAGUAAGGAGGUAUGGUCGGACUUACUGACCAUUCGAUGGCAGCCUUAUUGUCAGGAGUGUUCCUAUGAAUUUGUGACCCAGUGUGGUAGACAAAUUCUGUGAUCCUUAUAUCUUGGUUCCUAUAUAAUUGUUUCACCCCGAGUGGUAAACAAAAUUUCGAUGGUGCAAAGAGGAUCAGCCGAAUUCAUCUGACACAUGACCAAUCUCACACUUCGGAAACGAUAAGUAUACAUUACUUUAUUUUGUUCAAGUGUUGAGUCCAGUUCAUUCAAUUCAGUUCAUUAAAUUCUAUCCAUUAAAUUCAGUUCACUUCAUUUUAUUCUUAACUAUUAUAUGCCUUAACUAGUUCACAAUUUAAGCUCAGUUCAUUCAAGACCAUUGAUACUGAAUUAUUGACAAGAAACGAAAAGCAUCAUGCAGAAUUCAGGACAUAGAAAGCUGAAAUUUGAACCGUUCGAUCUAUUCAUUCAUAUUGACAAACACAUUGUGCAAAAACAUAAAUUCUAAUAUAAUUUCAGAACAAUAGAAGUCCUGAUAAAAGUUUUUAAAACAAAAUCCUUAAAAAAUUUCCAAAAUAAACAGAAAUUUUCACAAAUAUUCUUAAAUAAAACUCAGGACAAACAAGAGCAUUCGCUUCAGGCAUCAUCCUCGCCAUCUGAAGAGUCGAGCAAGGAUGGAUCCACGUUAGCUGCAAUCAACUUCUCCUUGCCACGACUCCGGCAGAGCUCAUAGCUUUCAGAAUAUAUCUUCAUGAUCUCUCCAUUAAUCUCAUCCGAGUUCCGAUAUUCUUCACAGAUCUGCUUACGAAGGUCAUCGGUUAGAGGAGGCCCGAGGUCCCGAAGAGCCUUGAGUUCUCAGAUUUCUUCUUCCAGCUUCUGACGCUUAUUCAGAUGACGAGUUUCUACUAGCUCUAGCUUCUGGAUUGUUUUAGUCAAGAUCUUAGCAUUAGCCUUUAGCUCUUUGAUCUUCUCCAUCCUUAUUUCGCUCCUCUGAACCAAGUCAACAUUUAUCUUGACGAUCUCCUCAUAUUGUGCUUUAGUUGACUUCAGUUCUUCAUUGGAUGUCUUCACAUCUCCUUUGGCUUGGGCCAACUCUUUCCGAAGACCCUCAUUCGUGUGAAGAACGCUCUCACGUUGAGUCAUUUCUCGAGUCAGAGCAAACUUCAGGAUGUCAUUCUCCUUCCUCAUGGCCUCUUCUUCGGAUUCAGCUUCGAUAGAUUUUGGACGCAGACGUCCGAACACAGCAUUCGCCUACGCAGGUCCAGUAUUAUUUGAUCAGUUUUAGAUGUGUAUGAAGAUAAAUACGGAAAUUAAGGAGAGAACCAUUUACCUUCGCCAGGUAGCUCAUGCCUCCGCUAAGCAAAUCCCCGUUCGAACUGUUCCCGAAACGAUGGUCAUCGGUUUCACGGACGAAAGCGUCGAACAGUUGAAAAGGAAAGUUGGCAUUAAAUCGAGGCCACAUGGUUGGAGAGGCCAUAGCGUCAUGCUGGAAUUCAGAGGUUGACUGCCUUGGAGGAGAGGGCAUGGAUUGAUUGUGAAUUGGCGAGGGAUCCACAUGUAUAUUUUUCGGAGAAGGAGAUCGAACAGGAUUAGGUUCGUGGACUGGUUAGGGAGCCGAGGAUGAACCUGGAUGGCUAUCUGAGGGAUGUUUCCUCUUCCGAGAUAAGAUGGGGACAGAUCUGACCAGUUCAUCAUCAGGCACUUGAAUUUCAGUCGGGACUAUUGGGGGAAUGUCAGCCGAAGACAGUGGAACUCGGAGCUCAUCGGCAGUCAAAGGGGUAAUCUUUGCCCUUAUCUUCUUAGCACGGAGGACCUUAUCCCGAUCGUGUAGAGGUAUAUCAAGUAGGCUUCUCUUAACUGGGGCAGAUUCGGAAGGUGCAGAACUAGGGUUGGAUGAAGGGGUUGCUUGUGGAAUUGCUUCGGGAAUUGUUUCCGGAUCACUUUCAGGAUUUGUUUCCGGCUGGGUGAAUUUGGAUUUCUUGGCGGCUCUUUUCCUUCGGCGAGGUCUGAGGGAUUCAUCGGGAACGAUGGGUUCAUCAGUUUGGGGUUCGUCAUUCUGAGGAGAAACAGUGGGUGGAUCGGUGACGGGAGGAUCAGCUCAGGAAGAUUCUUCAGUCGGAGGCUCUUCACUCGCAUCCGUAAUCUUCCCUGCCAAAAAGUCUUCCAAUUCUUUUACUUCCGAAGAAGUUGGUUUGAUCAGAGACACUGCAAAUAACCAUGUAUCAGAACCCAUAUCACUUAAAUAUCUCAAAAAACUGUGUUACAAAGUUGUUCGAAACUUACAUUUAUGGUCAUAUAGCCAGGCUUGCUUAGUCAGAAGUGCAAAACUCCAUUCCUUCGGAGGAAUCUUCUUCAAAAAAUCUGCCAUUUCCUUCACACGCUCUUCGGGGAUAUCUCCAAAGUCAGCAGAGAUCCGAUCAGAGAUAGUCCAAUCUGGAAGAGAAGAGAUUUCGGGUCCCGUAACAAAAAACCAUUUUUCGUGCCAACCCUUGUUGCUUGAAGGGGUAUCCAUCAGGGAUCUCUUCUCAAAUCUGGUGUUGGGUCGAGGAGACUGUUUGCUCAACAUUUUGAAACCUCGUUCUCGGGACCUACCGGCUGAGAAGAGGGUGAAGAAGAUGUCGACAGAGGGAGGAAUCCCUAGUUCGUGACAGAAGGCAAUGAAUGCCAGAAUGUGGAUGUAGGAAUUAGGCACCAACUGGGCAAAACCCACUCCUAUAAACCCUAGGAGGGUAACGACGAAGGCAUGGAGGGGUAGACGAAUCCCCUUUUCAAGAAAAGUAACUGGCAUAGCGACCCAACCAUCCGGUCGAUGGUACAUGCGUUCUUCAGGAGCGGGAGCCCUUAUAGCGUACAUAUCCGGAAUCUGAUAGCGAGUCCGGAGGAUACGUAUCUCAGAUUCCGUAACAGUGGAGGGGGUAUUGGCAUGAGGAAACUGUUCCCCAUCCUUGAAGAAGUCGGAAGGAGGCAGAGAAGGGAUCAGGGGCGGAUUCUUCCCCAUGGUUGCUGUGGAUUGGGGAUUGGAACUCGAACCCUCUUGGUUAGGGUUUGGAUUGGGGGAAACGGUGCAAACGGGAGUCACGCGAAGGGGAGAAUUUUGGUUAGAGUUCACAGUCACCAUUGUUGAGAUUUCGUAAAACAGAGAAGGAAGUUCUGGGAAGGAGAAGAAAGCUCAAAGGUUCAAAGUUCAAAUUGGCAGGUAAAACCGUCAAAAUUGGUAAAGUUUAUCUUUUAUACUGACAGUUACACGAGUUACGAAGGCGGCA